CUGGAGGAAGGCGGGGACGACGUCAAGUCAUCAUGGCCCUUACGGCCAGGGCUACACACGUGCUACAAUGGUCGGUACAAAGGGUUGCUACACAGCGAUGUGAUGCUAAUCUCAAAAAGCCGAUCGUAGUCCGGAUUGGAGUCUGCAACUCGACUCCAUGAAGUCGGAAUCGCUAGUAAUCGCGGAUCAGAAUGCCGCGGUGAAUACGUUCCCGGGCCUUGUACACACCGCCCGUCACACCAUGGGAGUUUGUUGCACCAGAAGUAGCUAGCCUAACUGCAAAGAGGGCGGUUACCACGGUGUGGCCGAUGACUGGGGUG
rnacentral:rRNA from 1 species